UACGAAGGGGGCUAGCGUUGUUCGGAAUUACUGGGCGUAAAGGGCGCGUAGGCGGCGUGUCAAGUCAGGCGUGAAAGCCCCGGGCUCAACCUGGGAACCGCGCUUGAGACUGGCAUGCUCGAGUUCGGGAGAGGGAUGGUGGAAUUCCCAGUGUAGAGGUGAAAUUCGUAGAUAUUGGGAAGAACACCGAUGGCGAAGGCAGCCAUCUGGACCGACACUGACGCUGAGGCGCGAAAGCGUGGGGGAGCAAACAGG
rnacentral:rRNA from 1 species